rnacentral:lncRNA from 1 species
UUUUCUAUGUUCUGUGAUUUCAGACGAGAAACCCCAGCUGAGGAGGCAAAUAUACUCAAGGAAAGUAAUAGUUUCCAAAUGCCUGGCAGUGCCAGGAAGGGGCCAUGUCCAUGGACCACUAUGUAAGGAUAUCUCAGUCUCUAGUCCAGCGUGGUUUAUGGUGCCAAAUAAGUGCCAGGUGAACUCACUACAUCUGACAAAAUCUCAAGGAACCAAGUUUACCAGAUAAUAUUUAUGAUUAUGUGAAAAAGACUGAGGAAAUCACUCAAGUGAUCCAUCAUACAGCACCUCCAGUUCCAAAGAAUACUGACUUACUUCAGCUGUACUGGUCUGGAGCUGCACAUUCUUUUCAGACAACUCUUGUUCCAGCUAGAGUGCAAUGGUGCAACCUCAGCUCACUGCAACCUCCGCUUCCCAGGUUCAAGCGAUUCUCCUGCUUCAGCCUCCCUGGUUGCUGGGAUUACAGGUGCUCAUCACCAUGUGCAGCUAAUUUUUUGUAUUUUUAGUAGAGACAGGGUUUUACCAUGUUGCCCAGGCUGGUCUCGAACUCCUGACCUCAGGUGAUCCACCCACCUCAGCCCCCCAAAGUUCUGAGAUUACAGACGUGAGACACUGCACCCGACCGGGGUGUUCAUUUUCUAAAAUCUUAAGUUGAAUGCCUUUUAAAAAAAA